rnacentral:rRNA from 1 species
GACGAACGCUGGCGGCGUGCUUAACACAUGCAAGUCGAACGAAGUGGCGAACGGGUGAGUAACGCGUAAUCAACCUGCCCUUCAGACGGGGAUAACUGUUGGAAACGACUCCUAAUACCGCAUACUUACGGAGGGGCUUGCGUCUGAUUGGCAAGUUGGAGGGUUAAUGGCCCACCGAGGCGAAGAUCAGUAGCGGGGCUGAAAGGGUGAACGGCCACAAUGGGACUGAGACACGGCCCAGACUCAUACGGGAGGCAGCAGUGGGGAAUCUUCCGCAAUGGACGAAAGUCUGAGGGAGCAAUGCGGCGAGUGUGAUAGAGGCCUUCGGAUGGUAAAGCUCUGUUAAUCGUGACGCGGUACGGGAAUAGACAGCCACGGCUAACUACGUGCCAGAAGCCGCGGUAAUUC